AACUUUCAGUAAUGGAUCACUUGGCUCUCGCAUCGAUGAAGAACGCAGCGAAAUGCGAUAAGUAAUGUGAAUUGCAGAAUUCAGUGAACCAUCGAAUCUUUGAACGCACCUUGCACCCUUUGGAAUUCCGAAGGGUAUGCUCGUUUGAGUGUCAUUGUACUCUCACACUUCUGAUCUUUUGGAUUGGGAGAGGUGGACUUGGGUGUUGCUGCUUCACUGUGGCUCACCUCAAAUGCAUUAGUGCACCUCUUGAUGAAACCAUAGUUCGGCGUGAUAAGCAUCUUCGCCGGCACCUCUUACCAGGAUGGCUAAUCAGGGGCUCUGUGCUUCCAACUGUCUUUGGACAACUCUGACAACUUGACCUCAAAUCGAGUAGGACUACCCGCUGAACUUAAGCAUAUCAAUAAGCGGAGGCU
rnacentral:misc_RNA from 1 species